GUGGACAAUCUAACCUAAGGUGGGGGAUAACCCCGGGAAACUGGGGAUAAUACCCCAUAGACUAUGGGUGCUGGAAUGCUCUGUAGUUGAAAGGUCCGCCGCCAUAGGAUGAGUCUGCGGCCGAUUAGGUUGUUGUUGGGGUAACGGCCCAACAAGCCUGUAAUCGGUACGGGUUGUGGGAGCAAGAGCCCGGAGAUGGAUUCUGAGACACGAAUCCAGGCCCUACGGGGCGCAGCAGGCGCGAAAACUUUACAAUGCGGGAAACCGUGAUAAGGGAACUCCGAGUGCCCGUAAAAUCGGGCUGUCCACCAGUGCAAAUAACUGGUGAAGAAAGGGCCGGGCAAGACCGGUGCCAGCCGCCGCGGUAAUACCGGCGGCUCGAGUGGUGGCCACUAUUACUGGGCUUAAAGCGUUCGUAGCUGGUCUGUUAAGUCUCUGGGGAAAUCUACUGGCUUAACCAAUAGGCAUCUCAGGGAUACUGGCAGACUAGGGACCGGGAGAGGUGAGGGGUACUCCAGGGGUAGGAGUGAAAUCCUGUAAUCCUUGGGGGACCACCUGUGGCGAAGGCGCCUCACCAGAACGGCUCCGACAGUGAGGGACGAAAGCUGGGGGAGCAAACCGGAUUAGAUACCCGGGUAGUCCCAGCUGUAAACGAUGCGCGUUAGGUGUAUCGGUGACCACGAGUCACCGAGGUGCCGAGAGAAAUCGUGAAACGUGCCGCCUGGGAAGUACGGUCGCA
rnacentral:rRNA from 1 species